GGAGAUUGAAGCUGUAGCAGCAAAAAUAUUUGGGGGGGGGCAUUAUUUGAAAAAUAUUUAAAGUCAUACACAUCCCUUGUAUACCAUUGGAAUUUUUUCCAUUCCAUGUAGGCUGACAACAAUUAGAAGAGAAACAUUCCACUGCAAAAAGAGAUCUCAGUGACAGAAUACAUCAUUUCCCUACAGUAAACAACAAUGGAUCUCCUUCCUUUUCAUAGCAUCAGCAAAUUGUGAUUCUGUUGUUCUUAUCUGGACAACUGGGAACUAGGCCUAUAAACAAGCCUGUAUCCCGAACAGCACUUCCACAGUGGGCACAUGGGCCAGAGGAAGCUUAUAUCACAUAUCCAUGGAAAAAGAUCCUGAGUGCCCUGGAGACUUAUUUU
rnacentral:lncRNA from 1 species